rnacentral:rRNA from 1 species
AUUGAACGCUGGCGGCAGGCCUAACACAUGCAAGUCGAGCGGUAGCACAGAGAGCUUGCUCUCGGGUGACGAGCGGCGGACGGGUGAGUAAUGUCUGGGAAACUGCCUGAUGGAGGGGGAUAACUACUGGAAACGGUAGCUAAUACCGCAUAAUGUCGCAAGACCAAAGUGGGGGACCUUCGGGCCUCAUGCCAUCAGAUGUGCCCAGAUGGGAUUAGCUAGUAGGUGGGGUAACGGCUCACCUAGGCGACGAUCCCUAGCUGGUCUGAGAGGAUGACCAGCCACACUGGAACUGAGACACGGUCCAGACUCCUACGGGAGGCAGCAGUGGGGAAUAUUGCACAAUGGGCGCAAGCCUAAUGCAGCCAUGCCGCGUGUGUGAAGAAGGCCUUCGGGUUGUAAAGCACUUUCAGCGGGGAGGAAGGCGUUAAGGUUAAUAACCUUGGCGAUUGACGUUACCCGCAGAAGAAGCACCGGCUAACUCCGUGCCGGCAGCCGCGGUAAUACGGAGGGUGCAAGCGUUAAUCGGAAUUACUGGGCGUAAAGCGCACGCAGGCGGUCUGUCAAGUCGGAUGUGAAAUCCCCGGGCUCAACCUGGGAACUGCAUUCGAAACUGGCAGGCUAGAGUCUUGUAGAGGGGGGGUAGAAUUCCAGGUGUAGCGGUGAAAUGCGUAGAGAUCUGGAGGAAUACCGGUGGCGAAGGCGGCCCCCUGGACAAAGACUGACGCUCAGGUGCGAAAGCGUGGGGAGCAAACAGGAUUAGAUACCCUGGUAGUCCACGCCGUAAACGAUGUCGAUUUGGAGGUUGUGCCCUUGAGGCGUGGCUUCCGGAGCUAACGCGUUAAAUCGACCGCCUGGGGAGUACGGCCGCAAGGUUAAAACUCAAAUGAAUUGACGGGGGCCCGCACAAGCGGUGGAGCAUGUGGUUUAAUUCGAUGCAACGCGAAGAACCUUACCUGGUCUUGACAUCCACAGAACUUUCCAGAGAUGGAUUGGUGCCUUCGGGAACUGUGAGACAGGUGCUGCAUGGCUGUCGUCAGCUCGUGUUGUGAAAUGUUGGGUUAAGUCCCGCAACGAGCGCAACCCUUAUCCUUUGUUGCCAGCGGUUAGGCCGGGAACUCAAAGGAGACUGCCAGUGAUAAACUGGAGGAAGGUGGGGAUGACGUCAAGUCAUCAUGGCCCUUACGACCAGGGCUACACACGUGCUACAAUGGCAUAUACAAAGAGAAGCGACCUCGCGAGAGCAAGCGGACCUCAUAAAGUAUGUCGUAGUCCGGAUUGGAGUCUGCAACUCGACUCCAUGAAGUCGGAAUCGCUAGUAAUCGUAGAUCAGAAUGCUACGGUGAAUACGUUCCCGGGCCUUGUACACACCGCCCGUCACACCAUGGGAGUGGGUUGCAAAAGAAGUAGGUAGCUUAACCUUUGGGAGGGCGCUUACCACUUUGUGAUUCAUGACUGGGGUGA